rnacentral:rRNA from 1 species
GUGAAAUUCCGUCGGAAUCUGGGAGGACCAUCUCCUAAGGCUAAAUACUCUCUAGUGACCGAUAGUGAACCAGUACCGUGAGGGAAAGGUGAAAAGCACCCCGGAAGGGGAGUGAAAUAGAACCUGAAACCGUGUGCUUACAAGUAGUCAGAGCCCGUUAAUGGGUGAUGGCGUGCCUUUUGUAGAAUGAACCGGCGAGUUACGAUUUGAUGCAAGGUUAAGCAGUAAAUGUGGAGCCGUAGCGAAAGCGAGUCUGAAUAGGGCGUUUAGUAUUUGGUCGUAGACCCGAAACCAGGUGAUCUACCCUUGGUCAGGUUGAAGUUCAGGUAACACUGAAUGGAGGACCGAACCGACUUACGUUGAAAAGUGAGCGGAUGAACUGAGGGUAGCGGAGAAAUUCCAAUCGAACCUGGAGAUAGCUGGUUCUCUCCGAAAUAGCUUUAGGGCUAGCCUCAAGUGAUGAUUAUUGGAGGUAGAGCACUGUUUGGACGAGGGGCCCCUCUCGGGUUACCGAAUUCAGACAAACUCCGAAUGCCAAUUAAUUUAACUUGGGAGUCAGAACAUGGGUGAUAAGGUCCAUGUUCGAAAGGGAAACAGCCCAGACCACCAGCUAAGGUCCCAAAAUAUAUGUUAAGUGGAAAAGGAUGUGGCGUUGCCCAGACAACUAGGAUGUUGGCUUAGAAGCAGCCAUCAUUUAAAGAGUGCG